rnacentral:rRNA from 1 species
CCUACGGGGGGCAGCAGUGAGGAAUAUUGGUCAAUGGGCGCGAGCCUGAACCAGCCAAGUCGCGUGAGGGAGGACGGCCCUACGGGUUGUAAACCUCUUUUGCCGGGGAGCAACGGGCGUCACGUGUGGCGCCACGGAGAGGACCCGGAGAAAAAGCAGCGGCGAACUCCGUGCCAGCAGCCGCGGUAAUACGGAGGAUGCGAGCGUUAUCCGGAUUUAUUUGGUUUAAGGGGGGCGUAGGCGGAUCGUUAAGUCAGUGGUCAAAUUGAGGGGCUCACCCCCUUCCCGCCAUUGAAACUGGCGCUCUUGAGUGGACGAGAAGUAUGCGGACUGCGUGGUGUAGCGGU